rnacentral:misc_RNA from 1 species
AGGGACCAGAGCAAAAUGCAUUGGGAAAUUUGCUUACCUUGUUUCUUCUAGGUGGGAUAUUUGCUGGGGUUACACUUGACUGGUUGUGGCUGAUAGGCAAAGGAUGGUGAGUUUAGCAUUUUUAUUUCUUAGUGUAACGCAGAAUUGAAUUCUUAGGGUGAAAGGUUAUAUCUGACCUAUGGAGAAUGGUGAUUAGUGAUAAGAUGGAAAAGUAUAAUAUUGGCCACGUUAAAGAACCACUAAAUGUUUAAGUUCUAGAUAGGGAAGGAUCCAAAAACAGGUUUUAUCCUCUAGAACAUCAGUACAAAUGCCUAUUGGACUUGAAUUAGUCGACUAAACUAAUGGCAAUAUAGAGCUAAUCCUUCUCUUUUGUAGAGUGUUAGGGUAUUAUGAACAGUUACUCGGAUUGUUUUCAUUUGCUCUUGUUCAUGUGCUAAUUAUUGCAUAUUUAGAGUCCCAGUACAGAAAAAAAGCAUUCCUCUUUCGCUCUCUAGCAUUUCCAAAGUCUCUUGCUACUUAAAUUCACAAUGACACUGUUAAUGAAAGGUCAUUUGUUAUGUCUCCAUUGUUUCCUAACUUCUUAAAUUACCUAGUCUUUGUUCCAUUAACUAGAUAGCUUUCUUCACCAAUGAGCUUUAACUCAGUGAAAAACUAGAUAAAUUUUCCCCUUAUUUAUCUCUCUGGUUCAAAUUAUUUGCAGUUAUCAAAAAAAAGAAUGCUGAAUAACAAAGUGAAUUUGGAUUAUAAUUACUCCACAUGGCCUAUCUUGAUUUGUAUGCUUCUUAUACAUAUGGUAUUGGCAGGGGUAUAAGGUUGAUAAAAUUGUUGCCUUAUCUGGUUGUGUAACAAGUCAGAUGCUGAUUGCUAAGCAUCAAAGUGAUAUUUCUGCAAGAA